rnacentral:rRNA from 1 species
GAUCAUGGCUCAGGAUGAACGCUAGCUACAGGCCUAACACAUGCAAGUCGAGGGGCAGCAUGGUCUUAGCUUGCUGAGGCCGAUGGCGACCGGCGCACGGGUGAGUAACACGUAUCCAACCUGCCGUCUACUCUUGGACAGCCUUCUGAAGGGAAGAUUAAUACAAGAUGGCAUCAUGAGUCCGCAUGUUCACAUGAUUAAAGGUAUUCCGGUAGACGA